AUUGAACGCUGGCAGCAGGCCUAACACAUGCAAGUCGAGCGGUUGAGGGGAGCUUGCUCCCUGAUUCAGCGGCGGACGGGUGAGUAAUGCCUAGGAAUCUGCCUAUUAGUGGGGGACAACGUUUCGAAAAGAACGCUAAUACCGCAUACGUCCUACGGGAGAAAGCAGGGGACCUUCGGGCCUUGCGCUAAUAGAUGAGCCUAGGUCGGAUUAGCUUGUUGGUGAGGUAAUGGCCCACCAAGGCGACGAUCCGUAACUGGCGUGAGAGGAUGAUCAGUCACACUGGAACUGAGACACGGUCCAGACUCCUACGGGAGGCAGCAGUGGGGAAUAUUGGAAAAUGGGCGAAAGCCUGAUCCAGCCAUGCCGCGUGUGUGAAGAAGGUCUUCGGAUUGUAAAGCACUUUAAGUUGGGAGGAAGGGUUGUAGAUUAAUACUCUGCAAUUUUGACGUUACCGACAGAAUAAGCACCGGCUAACUCUGUGCCAGCCGCCGCCGUAAUAC
rnacentral:rRNA from 1 species